AUUGAACGCUGGCGGCAUGCUUUACACAUGCAAGUCGGACGAGUGGCGGACGGGUGAGUAACGCAUCGGAACGUACCGAGUAAUGGGGGAUAACUGUCCGAAAGGACAGCUAAUACCGCAUACUAUUCGAGCGGCCGAUGUCGGAUUAGCUGGUUGGCGGGGUAAAGGCCCACCAAGGCGACGAUCAGUAGCGGGUCUGAGAGGAUGAUCAGCCACACUGGAACUGAGACACGGCCCAGACGCCUACGGGAGGCAGCAGUGGGGAAUUUUGGACAAUGGGCGCAAGCCUGAUCCAGCCAUGCCGCGUGUAUGAAGAAGGCCUUCGGGUUGUAAAGGACUUUUAGCGGGGAGGCGGUACCUGAAGAAGAAGCACCGGCUAACUCCGUGCCAGCAGCCGCGGUAAUUC
rnacentral:rRNA from 1 species